rnacentral:rRNA from 1 species
ACAUGCCUACAACAUAGUGUUAAUGCACUUGAUCCCAUUAGAAAUCCACAGUUAAGCGUGCUUAGACUAAAGUAGUACUGGGAUGGGUGACCAUCUGGGAAUUCCUAGUGUUUUACAUGCC